rnacentral:rRNA from 1 species
CAGCGCCGCGGUAAUACGGAGGGUGCAAGCGUUAAUCGGAAUUACUGGGCGUAAAGCGCACGCAGGCGGUCUGACAAGUCAGAUGUGAAAUCCCCGGGCUUAACCUGGGAACUGCAUUUGAAACUGUCAGGCUGGAGUCUUGUAGAGGGGGGUGGAAUUCCAGGUGUAGCGGUGAAAUGCGUAGAGAUCUGGAGGAAUACCGGUGGCGAAGGCGGCCCCCUGGACAAAGACUGACGCUCAGGUGCGAAAGCGUGGGGAGCAAACAGGAUUAGAUACCCGUGUAGUCCCUGUCUCUUAUACA